rnacentral:rRNA from 1 species
AUUGAACGCUGGCGGCAGGCCUAACACAUGCAAGUCGAACGAGUGGCGGACGGGUGAGUAAUGUCUGGGAAACUGCCUGAUGGAGGGGGAUAACUACUGGAAAAGGUAGCUAAUACCGCAUACCAUCGGAUGUGCACAGAUGGGAUUAGCUAGUCGGUGGGGUAUUGGCUCACCUAGGCGACGAUCCCUAGCUGGUCUGAGAGGUGGACCAGCCACACGUGAACUGCGACACGGUCCAGACUCCUACGGCAGGCAGCAGUGGGGAAUAGUUCACAAUGGGCGCAAGCCUGAUUCAGCCAUGCCGCGUGUAUGAAGAAGGCCUUCGGGUUGUAAAGUACUUUCAGCGGGGAGGCGUUACCCGCAGAAGAAGCACCGGCUAACUCCGUGCCAGCAGCCGCGGUAAUAC